UGGAGAAUUGCCGACGAGUCCUGGGAGUUGGAGAGCUCCUCGCUAUGGCGGGCUAAUUAGGGGCAAAAGAUCCGGUACAUGUAUUAAUUCUGCGUGUUAACAAAAAAUGAGAAGAUAGCGUGAUUUGGGGGAGUUGGGCCGUGUUGUACUCUUGUGAGUCUCUUGGGCCUGCAAAUCGUUGCGAUGCGGUGCUGCGUGGGCCGCUCGGUCGAUCGGGACUCGGUCGGGAGAGUGGAUUGGGAUCGAUCGACUGGCUCGUCAUUCGUCGCCUCGUGCAAUCGCCUCUGGUCUAUGGAGCCUGGCGGCGGCGCUUGGGAAUUAGGGAGCGGGGCCAGCGCCAGCGCCCAACGGGGAGCCAGUGUGCCACCGGGGGAUUCUGGAAGAGAGGGGGAAGCGUAGAUCGGAGGAGCACUGACCAUUGUGCGGAGGAGGGACGGCGGGCGGCCACGCUGCACCGGCCGCCGGCGGGGAUUCCACGACUGGUCUGCUGCCUCGCUCCCAGGGCGCUGGAGUGAUUCUGAACAGAGAAUUGGAAACGUGCCCAAUUUUCAGCAACCUGAAGGCAUUAUCCCUUGGUGAAUAGUGUAUGGUUCCGGACUUCGAUCCAUUAGUUUCCCUCCUACAGGAUGCUCCAAAUCUGGAGAGGCUUUUUCUUGAACUUAAAAUGGAUCAUGUCAACAGAAUGGUAACGGAAGAUAAUAUCAGACCAGAGGGUAGAUCAUUUGCUUGCAGAAACCUUACAAUGGUGAAGAUACACUGUCCUAAAGGUCAUGUUGGAGUUCAUGUGUUGGCACAAUUGUUCAUGGCUAAUGGGACACCAGUUGAGAAAAUAUAUGUCCGUCCCCGGAACUUAUGAUUCUCAGUUUAUCCCGCGACAUAGACUAUGCCUGCAGAACUGACGGAAGCUUCAGACACUUCUCUUCGAUUAGCUUGGAACUAUGUGUGGCUAUAUGAAAUCCGGAAAAUAAAUGGUUUUCCUAGUGUCACAAGUUAAAACUAGAACUUAUGUAGUUUCGUCCUUAAGCUAUCCAUAUUAUUGUUACUGGUUAUUUUGUUUCCAAGAAUCCAGGUUUGAAAACUAUGACAACACUCUGUUACGUUUGAUAAUACUUGUCGAAAUCUUAGAUGUAUGUAGACAUUUUUUAAGAAUAGAUACAUACAUUUUGGAGCAAA